rnacentral:rRNA from 1 species
AUUGAACGCUGGCGGCAGGCUUAACACAUGCAAGUCGAGCGGUAGCACAGGGGAGCUUGCUCCCUGGGUGACGAGCGGCGGACGGGUGAGUAAUGUCUGGGAAACUGCCUGAUGGAGGGGGAUAACUACUGGAAACGGUAGCUAAUACCGCAUAACGUCGCAAGACCAAAGAGGGGGACCUUCGGGCCUCUUGCCAUCAGAUGUGCCCAGAUGGGAUUAGCUAGUAGGUGGGGUAAUGGCUCACCUAAGCGACGAUCCCUAGCUGGUCUGAGAGGAUGACCAGCCACACUGGAACUGAGACACGGUCCAGACUCCUACGGGAGGCAGCAGUGGGGAAUAUUGCACAAUGGGCGCAAGCCUGAUGCAGCCAUGCCGCGUGUGUGAAGAAGGCCUUCGGGUUGUAAAGCACUUUCAGCGAGGAGGAAGGUGGUGAGCUUAAUACGUUCAUCAAUUGACGUUACUCGCAGAAGAAGCACCGGCUAACUCCGUG